GACGAACGCUGGCGGCGUGCUUAACACAUGCAAGUCGAACGGCAAGGCCCUGCUUUUGUGGGGUGCUCGAGUGGCGAACGGGUGAGUAACACGUGAGUAACCUGCCCUUGACUUUGGGAUAACUUCAGGAAACUGGGGCUAAUACCGGAUAGGAGCUCCUGCUGCAUGGUGGGGGUUGGAAAGUUUCGGCGGGUGGGGAUGGACUCGCGGCUUAUCAGCUUGUUGGUUGGGUAGUGGCUUACCAAGGCUUUGACGGGUAGCCGGCCUGAGAGGGUGACCGGCCACAUUGGGACUGAGAGACGGCCCAGACUCCUACGGGAGGCAGCAGUGGGGAAUAUUGCACAAUGGGCGGAAGCCUGAUGCAGCAACGCCGCGUGCGGGAUGACGGCCUUCGGGUUGUAAACCGCUUUCGCCUGUGACGAAGCGUGAGUGACGGUAAUGGGUAAAGAAGCACCGGCUAACUACGUG
rnacentral:rRNA from 1 species